GACGAACGCUGGCGGCGUGCUUAACACAUGCAAGUCGUACGGAAAGGCCCUUUCGGGGGUACACGAGUGGCGGACGGGUGGGUAAGACGUGCGUGAGCUGCCCACAACUUUGGGAUAAAGAUAGGAAAGUGGCGCUGAUUCUGGAUAUGUGUUACUUCUGCAUGGUGGGGGUUGGAUAGCUCCGGCCGGUGUGGGUGGACUGGCGGCCUAUCUGCUUGUUGGUGGGGUGGUGGCCUACCAAGGCGGCGUCGGGUAGCCGGCCUGGGAGGGUGACCGGCCAGAUUGGGACUGAGAUACGGCCCAGACUCCUACGGGAGGCAGCAGUGGGGAAUAUUGCACAAUGGGCGCGAGCCUGGUGCAGCAACGCCGCGGUCGGGAAGACGGCCUUCGGGUUGUAAAACGCUUUCAGCAGGGACGAAGCUGUCUGUGACGGUACCUGCAGAAGAAGCACCGGCUAACUACGUG
rnacentral:rRNA from 1 species